rnacentral:lncRNA from 1 species
AGAGGAGUUAUAACCCAGUCAGUAUAGAGGAGUUAUUACCCAGUCAGAUAUAAGGAGUUACACCCAGUCAGAUAUAGAGGAGUUAUUUACCCAGUCAGAAUAUAGAAGGGAGUUUACCCAGUCAGAUAUAGGAGUUAUUAACCCGGUCAGAUAUAGAGGAGUUAUAACCCAGUCAGAUAGAGGAGUUAUUAACCCAGUCAGAGGAGUUAUUAACCCAGUCAGAUAUAGAGGAGUUAUUAACCCAGUCAGAUAUAGAGGGGUUAUUAACCCAGUCAGAUAUAGAGGAGUUAUUAACCCAGUCAGAUAUAGAGGGGUUAUUUACCCAGUCAGAUAUAGAGGAGUUAUUUACCCAGUCAGAUAUAGAGGAGUUAUUUACCCAGUCAGAUAUAGUUUCGUGACUAGAGGAUUUUAGUCACUAAAUUGUUUCCUAUCCCUUUUCCUUUCAAUGACA